rnacentral:rRNA from 1 species
CCUACGGGAGGCAGCAGUGGGGAAUAUUGGGCAAUGGGCGCAAGCCUGACCCAGCAACGCCGCGUGAAGGAAGAAGGCUUUCGGGUUGUAAACUUCUUUUCUGAGGGACGAAGAAAGUGACGGUACCUCAGGAAUAAGCCACGGCUAACUACGUACCAGCAGCCGCGGUAAUACGUAGGUGGCAAGCGUUAUCCGGCUUUAUUGGGUUUAAAGGGGGCGUAGGCGGAAUGCCAAGUCAGCGGUAAAAUCGCGGGGUUCAACCUCGCUCCGCCGUUGAAACGGGCGUUCUUGAGUGGGCGAGAGGUAUGCGGAAUGCGUGGUGUAGCGGUGAAAUGCAUAGAUAUCACGCAGAACUCCGAUUGCGAAGGCAGCAUACCGGCGCCCAACUGACGCUGAAGCACGAAAGCGUGGGUAUCGAACAGGAUUAGAUACCCCUGUAGUC